GUCAAGUUAAUCACACCCCUUUGUCUUGAACAAGAUCCUAAUCAACUGAGGUUGGGGUUUACUAUUGUCUCUGGAAUGGCUACCUGUCUGGCACUCAGGGCCAGGAUGCCAGCGAGUAUCUCCCAUGCAAGAGGCUGCUGAGUAUGUGGUGUCAGGCUUGAGGAAUUAUGGCUGCCCACAUCCCAGACUCCCCCUUUGGUAGCCAUUCCUUUCCUGAGCACAACAAAGUUGGAAUGGUGCAAAUCCAUUUUUAUAUGGAGCAAUUUUUAUAUGACUUUCUAAAGUUUUCCCAUUGAGCCAGUGAAUUGUUACAUUUGGUAAUGUGCAGCAGAGGCCCUUUGAAUAGAGAUAGGGGGGAAAUACUGUAUGAUGAAGUCUUUUGUGGGGACAUUUGCAGGAGUCGGUGGGGUGUAUGAUGUCCGCUGGAGGGGCAACCCCCCCCCCAACCUUUCCAUAAAUUCCGUUAACACUGGCCAUACAAGAUCUUCAACAGAGGGCUUCCUGUAGGUGCCCUCGCCAUCUGAAAUAAGACAGGUGGUUUUCCAGAGGCAGGGCCUUCGUGGUGAUGGUGUCAGCUUUGUAACAUUCUCUCCAGAGGCACCUACCUGGCUGUCUUUUCAGUGCCACAAGGAAGCCCUUUUAACUCUGUUGCUUCCAUCCUAUGCCGAGGUUGAAUAUAUGUGUAAAUAAAACCAGAUAUCCUAAAUACCGUACAUCACAGUCUCUGUUGGCCUUCGUUUCAAAGAAACCAAACCCUGGUUGGGCACAGGCCUUUGUGGAAUCUCUCACCACUCAGAGAUUGGGGUGUACAGUACUGUCAGGUGGCAGAGGAACCAACCCAGGUUGCCAGGAACAGAUAAGACAAGGAAACGUCCUUACUGUCUGCUUUUAUUCAAUAUUUAGAGAGGCUUGGAAUGCAGCCUCUCAGAAUAAUAGCAUUGCCCCGAGUCAAUCUCCACCCCCUCUGUCUCUCCCAUUUCCCCAUGAGUCAUCACUGUUGUUCUUUAGUCGUUUGGUCGUGUCCGACUUUUCCUGACCCCAUAGACCAGAGCACGCCAGGCACUCCUGUCUUCCACUGCCUCCCGCAGUUUGGUGAAACUCAUGCUGGUAGCUUCGAGAACACUGUCCAACCAUCUCAUCCUCUGUCGUCCCCUUCUUCUUGUGCCCUCCAUCUUUCCCAACAUCAGGGUCUUUUCCAGGGAGUCUUCUCAUGAGGUGGCCAAAGUAUUGGAGCCUCAGCUUCAGGAUCUGUCCUUCCAGUGAGCACUCAGGGCUGAUUUCCUUCAGAAUGGAUAGGUUUGAUCUUCUUGCAAUCCAUGGGACUCUCAAGAGUCUCCUCCAGCUCCAUAAUUCAAAAGCAUCAAUUCUUCGGCGAUCAGCCUUCUUUAUGGUCCAGCUCUCACUUCCAUACAUCACUACUGGGAAAACCAUAGCUUCAUCACUACAGGUGCUGAAAAGUGCCCUCUGCCUUUGACCUCUUUGCUCUCCUACUUUCAAGGCCCGCUGUGUUCUGGGGGGGGGGGGGGUCUGGAAUGCUUUCUAAAGACACUGAGUCCAUCAGCUGUCACUCCCCUGGUACUGCUGCUUCCUCCUCCUUCUCCUCCUCCUCCUCCUUUCUCAUUAUUCCCCAGCUUUCCUCCUCAUCUUCCUCGGAGCCGUGACCUCCCUCAAACCCCUGCUGUAAUUCUGAACUGUCUUCUUCUUCUUCUUGGAAGGGUCAGGCUGGGGAUGCGGUCUCCACCAUUCCUCCUCUGCCCAGUCCCUGACAAGUACAAUCUGUAGAAGAUAUGAUCAGAAAUAACAGGAAAACUGCAACUCUACGAAAUCAAAUCACAGCCUUCUUCUCCUGCUUUGUUUUCAGAGCUAUUCCCUUACAAGGGAAUAGUGAUUUCAUAACUGAGCAUAUGCACAGCACUUGGUAAGCUAAUUUCCCCCCAUUAUUUUAUUUUAUUUUAUUUUUUCACCGAAACAAAAUGGAUCCCAUCCAAAAUGCAGUCCUACUAAUUGGAAGUCCAUAAGAAGAAGCCACUUUUUGGGGCCAUGGCAGUUCGCCCUGUUGCCCGCUGACAACGUCAGACGUGCAUUUUAGCCCUGCACUUCUCUUUACUUAAAUCCAAGCUUAUUCCCAUUGAUUCUAGGGGCCACUCCACACAACAGAGCCAGGCAACCGUCUUGUUAUAUGGCACUACAGUGGUACCUCGGGUUACAUACGCUUCAGGUUACAUACGCUUCAGGUUACAGACUCUGCUAACCCAGAAAUAGUGCUUCAGGUUAAGAACUUUGCUUCAGGAUGAGAACAGAAAUUGUGCUCCGGCGGUGCGGUGGCAGCAGGAGGCCCCAUUAGCUAAAGUGGUGCUUCAGGUUAAGAACAGUUUCAGGUUAAGUACGGAUCUCCGGAACGAAUUAAGUACUUAACCCGAGGUACCACUGUACUAUCUGAUUUUGCUGCAGUGCAAAUUGGAGGGCAAAUUCAGACCGGCCGUGUUUCCCUUAUUUAAUGCAACAGAGUACUUUAUGAUCUUUAUGGCUCUAACCCUGGCAGCUCCCAUAGCUGUUAGUAAGCUUUUGUGUGGACUCAGGGGGAGUCAUGAUUGUUUUUCUUUGACCACCUGCCCAUCCUUCCCUCCCUUGUGCUGUGUUUCAAACUGCUCUCAUUUUCAGAAGUAGCUUUCUGGAACAUAGGAAGCUGCCUGGUACUAAGCCACUGGUGCACUUAGUUCAGUUCUGUCUACUUUGCCUGGUAGCAGUUCUCCCGGGUUUCAGGCAGGGGACAAUCCCAUCUUUGCCUGGAAAUGCUGGAAAUUGACCUUGAGGCUUUCUGCAUCCUAGACCAAGACUCUACAACUGAGC